GAAACAGGCAGUGCCCAGAGAGAGAAGCACAGGUCCACGCAGGCAGCCAAAGCCAUCUUCUUGGUUGAAAGAUACUCUUUUCGGGGGGAGGAGCCAAGAUGGCCGAGUAGGAACAGCUCCGGUCUACAGCUCCCAGCGUGAGCGACAAAGAAGACGGGUGAUUUCUGCAUUUGCAUCUGAGGAAUAAUGAUUGAGCACCAGAAACAGACAAGCGAGGUCCUGGGAAUAGAGCAUAAACACAGGAAAAGCAAACUCCAUUCUGGCUUGGGGGGACCUUGACUAAGCUUUGACAAAUGUGCACAGACUCCCAAGAGGAUCCAAGCCUUCAAAUCCAGGUUCAAACAGGUAACUGAAGAUUUACAUCUGUAAAUCUGGAUGGGAACUGAAUUCCUACAUCAUAGACAGUUUCAAGGAGGGAAGGAUUAUGUGUUCAGGAAAUACUCUGCAUUCUCAAAACUCUACAUUGUUGGUGCUUAGAUUUGCUCUGUGAGAACCUACUGAAAUAAACCUUUUCUCUGGAAG
rnacentral:lncRNA from 1 species